rnacentral:rRNA from 1 species
GACGAACGCUGGCGGCGCGCUUAACACAUGCAAGUCGAGCGAGAACCAGACCUUCGGGUCUGGGGACAGCGGCGAACGGGUGAGUAACACGUGGGUAAUCAACCCUCGGUACUGGGAUAGCCCGGGGAAACCCGGAUUAAUACCGGAUGGCCCUUCGGAUCUUCGGUUCUGAAGGAAAAGGUAGCUUCGGCCUCCGACCGAGGACGAGCCCGCGGCGGAUUAGCUUGUUGGUGGGGUAACGGCCUACCAAGGCGGCGAUCCGUAGCUGGUCUGAGAGGACGAUCAGCCACACUGGGACUGGGACACGGCCCAGACUCCUACGGGAGGCAGCAGUGGGGAAUCUUGCGCUAAUGCGGGAAACCGUGACGCAGCGACGCCGCGUGAGGGAAGAAGGCCUUCGGGUUGUAAACCUCUUUCAGGAGGGACGAAGCUACUCGGGUUAAUAGCCCAGAGGGUGACGGUACCUCCAGAAGAAGCCCCGGCUAACUACGUGCCAGCCGCCGCUGUAAUAC